UCCUCCCUCAAACCUCUGUGUUUGGUGUUGGGCCGCGUUGGCGUCACAGCCAACUGGUCUCAAAGACAAUGACGGCGUCCGUGGGACCCUCUUCGCAACGAGCAUCUUCGGAAGCACGCGUCGAGUCUAAAGGACCUUCCGGGCCGGUCUACCCUUUAUCUUUCUAAGG
rnacentral:misc_RNA from 1 species